AACGAACGCUGGCGGCAUGCCUAACACAUGCAAGUCGAACGAGAUCCUUCGGGGUCUAGUGGCGCACGGGUGCGUAACGCGUGGGAAUCUGCCCUUAGGUUCGGAAUAACAGUUAGAAAUGACUGCUAAUACCGGAUGAUGACGUUAAGUCCAAAGAUUUAUCGCCUGAGGAUGAGCCCGCGUAGGAUUAGCUAGUUGGUGUGGUAAAGGCGCACCAAGGCGACGAUCCUUAGCUGGUCUGAGAGGAUGAUCAGCCACACUGGGACUGAGACACGGCCCAGACUCCUACGGGAGGCAGCAGUGGGGAAUAUUGGACAAUGGGCGCAAGCCUGACCCAGCAAUGCCGCGUGAGUGAUGAAGGCCUUAGGGUUGUAAAGCUCUUUUACCCGGGAUGAUAAUGACAGUACCGGGAGAAUAAGCCCCGGCUAACUCCGUG
rnacentral:rRNA from 1 species